rnacentral:rRNA from 1 species
GGGUAACGGGGUGUUAGGGCACGACACCGGAGAGGGAGCCUGAGAAACGGCUACCACAUCCAAGGAUGGCAGCAGGCGCGCAAAUUACCCAAUCCCGACACGGGGAGGUAGUGACAAUAAAUAACAAUACGGGGUUCUUUAGGAUCUCGUAAUUGGAAUGAGUACAAUUUAAAUCUCUUAACGAGGAACAAUUGGAGGGCAAGUCUGGUGCCAGCAGCCGCGGUAAUUCCAGCUCCAAUAGCGUAUAUUAAAGUUGUUGCAGUUAAAAAGCUGGUAGUUGAAUUUCGGGGUUAGUAGGUUGGUCAUGCCUCUGGUAUGUACUGGUCUCACUGAUUCCUCCUUCCUUAUGAACCGUAAUGCCAUUAAUUUGGUGUUGCGGGGAAUUUGGACUGUUACUUUGAAAAAAUUAGAGUGUUUAAAGCAAGCUAACGCUUGAAUACAUUAGCAUGGAAUAAUGAAAUAGGACGUUCGAUCUUAUUUUGUUGGUUUCUAGGAUUGACGUAAUGAUUAAUAGGGAUAGUUGGGGGCAUUAGUAUUCAAUUGUCAGAGGUGAAAUUCUUGGAUUUAUUGAAGACUAACUACUGCGAAAGCAUUUGCCAAGGAUGUUUUCAUUAAUCAAGAACGAAAGUUAGGGGAUCGAAGACGAUCAGAUACC